rnacentral:rRNA from 1 species
AGAGUUUGAUCCUGGCUCAGAUUGAACGCUGGCGGCAGGCCUAACACAUGCAAGUCGAACGGUAACAGGAAGCAGCUUGCUGUUUUGCUGACGAGUGGCGGACGGGUGAGUAAUGUCUGGGAAACUGCCCGAUGGAGGGGGAUAACUACUGGAAACGGUAGCUAAUACCGCAUAACGUCGCAAGACCAAAGAGGGGGACCUUCGGGCCUCUUGCCAUCGGAUGUGCCCAGAUGGGAUUAGCUAGUUGGUGAGGUAACGGCUCACCAAGGCGACGAUCCCUAGCUGGUCUGAGAGGAUGACCAGCCACACUGGAACUGAGACACGGUCCAGACUCCUACGGGAGGCAGCAGUGGGGAAUAUUGCACAAUGGGCGCAAGCCUGAUGCAGCCAUGCCGCGUGUAUGAAGAAGGCCUUCGGGUUGUAAAGUACUUUCAGCGGGGAGGAAGGGGAUGUGGUUAAUAACCGCAUCCAUUGACGUUACCCGCAGAAGAAGCACCGGCUAACUCCGUGCCAGCAGCCGCGGUAAUA